rnacentral:rRNA from 1 species
UACAGAGGUGCCAAGCGUUAGGCGGAAUCACUGGGCUUAAAGCGCGUGUAGGUGGGUCGUUAAGUGUCCGCGUGAAAUCCCACGGCUCAACCGUGGAACUGCCGGGCAUACUGGCGAUCUUGAGGCAUUCAGGGGCGAGCGGAACAAAUGGUGGAGCGGUGAAAUGCGCAGAUAUCAGGAAGAACACCAAUGGCGAAAGCAGCUCUCUGGGACGGUACUGACGCUGAGACGCGAAAGCGUGGGGAGCGAACAGG